rnacentral:snRNA from 1 species
AGCUUUGCGCAGUGGCAGUAUCGUAGCCAAUGAGGUUUAUCCGAGGCGCGAUUAUUGCUAAUUGAAAAAUGACAAGCUUUAACUGGCUAAGUUAACUAACUUAGUUUGCUCUACAGAGC